CACAACGUCUGGGGCAUUGUGGGAAAAACAAAAUGGUGGAUGCCAGCUAUGUUGUGGCUGCAGAAAUUCAAUGGGCCUGAAGGGUCCAUGAGGGCAGACACCCAUCAGUGUGUUGGACUCUGUGGAAGGCACAAGGGUCCUUGUGUCAGCUGCUGCUCUAAGACACAAAGAAGUAAUUCCUACCUGCUGAAUGCGAGGCCCCGGGGAGGCCACAAGAAGGCUAGCAGGAACUGCAGCAAGCAGGCUUUCCUCCUCCACUGAAGUGAGAUACAUUGAGCCUGGAAAUCAUAUGUGGGGAGGAAUGUGCCCAGAAUAAGGAUGAAGGAUGAAUUUGUUCACUUUGCAUUUUACUGGGAACUUACGUAAAUCCCUGAACUGAAAAAUAGCUAUCCUUUAAAAUUGCAGCAGCAAAGGGACUGUGACCAACAUCAUGGGAAGGAAUCUUGGCAGCCUCAAAGACCGCAUUAUGGCAGGUGAUUGACGGGCUGGAGGUACUGCUUACACUGGCGGAGGAAGAGGAGAGUGGAGGGAGCGCACCGCCCCCAGCAGCACGAUCCCUUGGGUGCCAUCACACCUGCCCCCUGCCUGCGCUGGGUGCCCUGCCCCUGCAGGCAGUGCGCCGCAACCCCAGGAUGCAUGCCACGCCCCUAGAAUGCAUGCCAUGCCCCCAGGAUGUGUUCCAGACCCGUCCCCACCUGCUCUCUGCCCCCUGGUGCCAGAGCAUGAAGCUGCGUCACUGACUGCCUACCUGUCUAAAGUAGCCCAUCGAUGCUGGGCCAAUUCUAGAACUGGCUCACUGACCGGAUACAUUUCCCCUCCCCUUGGUAAAAUGGUAGUGUGAAGAGGUGUGAAGUGUACCCCACUUAAAAAUGAAAAGCUUGGGGCAAUGGUAUGAAGCUUAGGUUCUUUUGGAUGAGAGAGUGCCAGGGUCUUAUGUAAUACAGUGGUACCUCUGGUUACAUAUGCUUCAGGUCCUAGUGGAGUACUGUGUCCAGUUCUGGGCACCACAGUU